rnacentral:rRNA from 1 species
CCUAACGGCUGAACUAGCAACUGGAAGAAUGAAAGGUGUAGACCGCAUGUAGUAAUGUAGACUACAGUAGUAACUCUGUUACAUUAAGUUCUAGGUAAAUAUUUGAUAAUGACAUUAUUUAUCUAUAAGUCUUGACCAAGUCUUGUGCCAGCAGUCGCGGUAACACAUGGAAGACGAGUGUUAUUCAUCUUUAUUUGGUUUAAAGGGUACCUAGACAGUUAAUCAAGCUAUAAUAAGGACUAAUUAACUAGAGUUUUAUAAGAAAAGGCUAGAACGGUGAGUGGAGAGAUGAAAUUCUUUGAUACACCUUAGAUACUGACAAGAGCGAAAGCGACCUNNUAUGUAAURNCUGACGUGAGGNNCNGAAGGCUUUAUGUAAUUAACAGGAUUAGAUACCCAAGUAGUCUUAGCAGACAAUGAUGAGUGUCAUAUAUAAGUUAUUUAAUUAAGUAUGUAAAGUAUAAAAUUAAUAUAUAUUUAUGUAUAAAUGAAAGUGUAAGCACUCCACCUUAAGAGUAACAUGGCAACAUAGGAACUGAAAUCAUUAGACCGUUUCUGAAACCAGUAGUGAAGUAUGUUGUUUAAUUUGAUGACCCACAAAGAACCUUACCACAAUUUGAAUAGAUUUUUAAAAUAAAAAUUUACAGGAGUUGCACGGCUGUCUUCAGUUGAUAUCGUGAGAUUUUGGUUAGUUCCAUUUAAUCAACGUAAACCCUUACUUUAUUUUUUAUAUAGAGUAGUUCGCCGAUAUAUUGGCUAAGAUAACAGGGACUAAGACAGUCACCAUGACCUAAAUAUUG